AGAGUUUGAUCAUGGCUCAGAACGAACGUUGGCGGCGUGGAUUAGGCAUGCAAGUCGAACGAAUCCCAGAGGGCUUGCUCUUUGGGGGAAGUGGCGAAAGGGGCAGUAAGGCGUGGGUAACCUACCCCGGGGACUGGGAUAGCCUCCCUAACGGGAGGGUAAUACCAGGCGAUUCGGCGAGGCCGCAUGGUUUUGCCGGGAAAUGAAUUUCGCCUCGGGAGGGGCUCACGUGAUAUUAGCUUGUUGGCGGGGUAACGGCCCACCAAGGCCAAGAUGUCUAGCGGGUGUGAGAGCACGACCCGCGCCACUGGCACUGAGACACUGGCCAGACUCCUACGGGAGGCUGCAGUCGAGGAUCUUCGGCAAUGGGCGCGAGCCUGACCGAGCGACGUCGCGUGUGCGAUGAAGGCCUUCGGGUUGUAAAGCACUGUCGAGGGGGAGGAGGCCGCAAGGUUGACCUAUCCCUGGAGGAAGCACGGGCUAAGUUCGUGCCAGCAGCCGCGGUAAGACGAACCGUGCGAACGUUGUUCGGAUUCACUGGGCUUAAAGGGCGCGUAGGCGGCAAUGCAAGUCCGGGGUGAAAGCUUUCGGCUUAACCGGAAAAGGGCCUUGGAUACUGCGUUGCUGGAGGGAGGUAGGGGCAUGUGGAACUUCCGGUGGAGCGGUGAAAUGCGUAGAUAUCGGAAGGAACGCCGGUGGCGAAAGCGACGUGCUGGACCUCUUCUGACGCUGAGGCGCGAAAGCCAGGGGAGCAAACGGGAUUAGAUACCCCGGUAGUCCUGGCCCUAAACGAUGGGUACUAGGUUGUGGACUGGACAUGGGUUCACAGCCGAGCAAAAGUUUUAAGUACCCCGCCUGGGGAGUAUGGUCGCAAGGCUGAAACUCUAAGGAAUUGACGGGGCUCACACAAGCGUGGAGCAUGUGGCUAAUUCGAGGCUACGC
rnacentral:rRNA from 1 species